UUCAUUUAAUCGGAGAGCAGAAUGUGUAAGAAAUGAUCGAAGUCAUUUCUACUCAAUCAAUAAUCUCACCUAACUUUGACAAUCCGUAGUUUUAAUUGUUUAGAAUAGUUUAGCAGGUUUGAUGCAAUGUAUUACAGUCGAUGAUUACAUGAAUAACAGAACAAUUAAUCAAAAAAAAAUAAAUAGAAAGAUCCAAGAUGUAAUCAGAGAGAAGGGAGACAUGAAGUGCUAUCGCCAUUCACCAACCCAAGAAAUUAAAAAUUUCCUAACAGGGCGGCCAGUCUAUUCAUUUCACAUGUAGCCCAAAAACAUUACGUGUGGGAAAUUGUCACGCCCCGAGCCCGAGGCGCGGCAGACGCCGCACGCCCGCACGGCGAGCCGCACGGGCGCGCAAGGCAGCAGAUUAUAUCAAAGCAGAUACAACUAUUCAAAGAUGACAUAAUUAUUUAAAUUGUUCAAAAGCGGACUCACAAAACUCCAAAAUAACAUAUGCCAACAUAAUUCAAAUGUCCAAACUAAACUAACUAAAAUGCCAAUAACUGAAGAAUCAUCGGAAACUCUAACGCACUCCCCAAUCCCGUGCGAUCAAGCCUCUGGAUAUGAAAAAUGGAGAAAACAAAAUAAUGAGCUACACUAGCCCAGUAAGCAACAAAAUACCCCAGAGCGGGGUCAGAGCAUAUCAGAUCAAAAUACAGGAUAAUGUCUGGAAUAAAUCAUAAAUAACAUCGUUUUGUUGUUUUCAAAACUUAUUAUCAUUUUUCCAAAAACUCUUAUACCAGAAUCUCAACAUAUUAGGCUACGGCCACGUAACCCAGUGGCAUGGGUUGCACAGAGUGCCAGAAACCACUAUUGUUAAUCACCGGUGGAAACGGUGUCCAGAAACCACUAUUCUAAUCACCGGUGGCGCGGUGUCGAAACCGGUUCCUCACAGAUUACAAAUCGACAGGUCCAACGUAUAAUCCCCAUUGGCGGUGCCAGAACAGAACAGAACAGAUCAUAGCCAUGAUGAGAAUAUAUAUAUAAAAACAGAUUUCAUAAAUUUUUCAGUCAUAGUUUACGGAUUUCAGAAUAAAAUUUUCAAAUGAAAUUUAACAUGCCAGACCCAUUUUACUAAAUACAAAACAUAUUUCAGAAUUUAAACUAUGUAUUUGAAAAUCACACUUGAAGUAUUAAGUUUCUUACUUCUUCUCGCUUGAUUCCUACUUCAGGUAGAUGGAUCAGGUUCACCUAUUUAAAUUUAAUUAAUCCUUGUUAAUUCCAGAACUAAGCAAAAUCCAGAAAUCAUUCUAUUGGACACAGCCCAACAGGGCCUAGAAUUGGCCCAUAAUGGGCAUGGCCCUAUAGGGCCCAUAUCGGAUACGGCCCAAUGGGCCCACAUAGACUUAGCUAACUAGGGACCCCAAUGUUGGCUUCUAAUUGUACCUGUAUACAAUAAAAUUUAUUGCAGGGACUAAUACUUAAUUAUAGGGUACUGUUCUAUAAUAAAACUUGAGUGAGGGGACUAAAUAAAUAUUGUUGGGGACCUUUACGUAAUAAGUCUUUUCUAUAAGGAUCAAAUACAAAAUACAGAAGAUCCUUUUUGUGAAAUAAUAUACUGUCAAGGGCUUAUCUGCAAAAUUUCAUUUAGUGGCCAAAUGGGUUC
rnacentral:lncRNA from 1 species